CCUACGGGGGGCUGCAGUGGGGAAUAUUGGACAAUGGGCGAAAGCCUGAUCCAGCCAUGCCGCGUGUGUGAAGAAGGCCUUCGGGUUGUAAAGCACUUUCAGUGGGGAAGAAAGCCUUGGGGCUAAUACCCUCGAGGAAGGACAUCACCCACAGAAGAAGCACCGGCUAACUCCGUGCCAGCAGCCGCGGUAAUACGGAGGGUGCGAGCGUUAAUCGGAAUUACUGGGCGGAAAGCGCGCGUAGGCGGUCUGAUAAGCCGGUUGUGAAAGCCCCGGGCUCAACCUGGGAACGGCAUCCGGAACUGUCAGGCUAGAGUGCAGGAGAGGAAGGUAGAAUUCCCGGUGUAGCGGUGAAAUGCGUAGAGAUCGGGAGGAAUACCAGUGGCGAAGGCGGCCUUCUGGACUGACACUGACGCUGAGGUGCGAAAGCGUGGGUAGCAAACAGGAUUAGAUACCCCGGUAGUC
rnacentral:rRNA from 1 species